rnacentral:rRNA from 1 species
GAUGAACGCUGGCGGCGUGCCUAACACAUGCAAGUCGAACGAGGCAAAUAAGAUGAAGUUUUCGGAUGGAUUCUUAUUUACCGAGUGGCGGACGGGUGAGUAACGCGUGGGUAACCUGCCUCAUACAGGGGGAUAACGAUUGGAAACGAUUGCUAAUACCGCAUAAGCGCACAGUACCACAUGGUGCAGUGUGAAAAACUCCGGUGGUAUGAGAUGGACCCGCGUCUGAUUAGCUAGUUGGUGGGGCAAACGGCCUACCAAGGCGACGAUCAGUAGCCGGUACUGAGAGGAUGAACGGCCACAUUGGGACUGAGACAGGCCCAGACUCCUACGGGAGCAGCAGU